UACGGGGGGGGUAAGCGUUGUUCGGAAUUACUGGGCGUAAAGGGCUCGUAGGCGGCCAGCUAAGUCGGACGUGAAAUCCCUCAGCUUAACUGGGGAACUGCGUCCGAUACUGGAUGGCUUGGAUUUGGGAGAGGGAUGCGGAAUUCCAGGUGUAGCGGUGAAAUGCGUAGAUAUCUGGAGGAACACCGGUGGCGAAGGCGGCAUCCUGGACCAAUAUUGACGCUGAGGAGCGAAAGCCAGGGGAGCAAACGGG
rnacentral:rRNA from 1 species